rnacentral:rRNA from 1 species
CUGAUUGAACGUGCUUGCACGGACUUGACGUUGGUUUACCAGCGAGUGGCGGACGGGUGAGUAACACGUAGGUAACCUGCCCCAAAGCGGGGGAUAACAUUUGGAAACAGAUGCUAAUACCGCAUAACAAUUUGAAUCGCAUGAUUCAAAUUUAAAAGAUGGCUUCGGCUAUCACUUUGGGAUGGACCUGCGGCGCAUUAGCUUGUUGGUAGGGUAACGGCCUACCAAGGCUGUGAUGCGUAGCCGAGUUGAGAGACUGAUCGGCCACAAUGGAACUGAGACACGGUCCAUACUCCUACGGGAGGCAGCAGUAGGGAAUCUUCCACAAUGGGCGCAAGCCUGAUGGAGCAACACCGCGUGAGUGAAGAAGGGUUUCGGCUCGUAAAGCUCUGUUGUUAGAGAAGAACGUGCGUGAGAGCAACUGUUCACGCAGUGACGGUAUCUAACCAGAAAGUCACGGCUAACUACGUGCCAGCAGCCGCGGUAAUACGUAGGUGGCAAGCGUUAUCCGGAUUUAUUGGGCGUAAAGCGAGCGCAGGCGGUUUGAUAAGUCUGAUGUGAAAGCCUUUGGCUUAACCAAAGAAGUGCAUCGGAAACUGUCAGACUUGAGUGCAGAAGAGGACAGUG